GAUGAACGCUGGCGGCGUGCCUAACACAUGCAAGUCGAGCGAUUCUCUUCGGAGAAGAGCGGCGGACGGGUGAGUAACGCGUGGGUAACCUGCCCUGUACACACGGAUAACAUACCGAAAGGUAUGCUAAUACGAGAUAAUAUGCUUUUAUCGCAUGGUAGAAGUAUCAAAGCUCCGGCGGUACAGGAUGGACCCGCGUCUGAUUAGCUAGUUGGUAAGGUAACGGCUUACCAAGGCGACGAUCCUUAGCCGACCUGAGAGGGUGAUCGGCCACAUUGGAACUGAGACACAGUCCAAACUCCUAUGGGAGGCAGCGGAGGGGAAUAUUGCACAAUGGGCGAAAGCGUGAUGCAGCAACGCCGCGUGAGCGAUGAAGGCCUUCGGGUCGUAAAGCUCUGUCCUCAAGGAAGAUAAUGACGGUACUUGAGGAGGAAGCCCCGGCUAACUACGUGCCAGCCGCCGCCGUAAUAC
rnacentral:rRNA from 1 species